GACGAACGCUGGCGGCGUGCUUAACACAUGCAAGUCGAACGGAAAGGCCCUGCUUUUGUGGGGUGCUCGAGUGGCGAACGGGCGAGUAACACGUGAGUAACCUGCCCUUGACUUUGGGAUAACUUCAGGAAACUGGGGCUACUACCGGAUAGGAGCUCCUGCUGCAUGGUGGGGGUUGGAAAGUUUCGGCGGUUGGGGAUGGACUCGCGGCUUAUCAGCUUGUUGGUGGGGUAGUGGCUUACCAAGGCUUUGACGGGUAGCCGGCCUGAGAGGGUGACCGGCCACAUUGGGACUGAGAUACGGCCCAGACUCCUACGGGAGGCAGCAGUGGGGAAUAUUGCACAAUGGGCGGAAGCCUGAUGCAGCAACGCCGCGUGCGGGAUGACGGCCUUCGGGUUGUAAACCGCUUUCGCCUGUGACGAAGCGUGAGUGACGGUAAUGGGUAAAGAAGCACCGGCUAACUACGUG
rnacentral:rRNA from 1 species